AGUCUACAUGUUCUACUACGUUGAUUGUAAAGUAAUGAAAAACGUGAAGUACAUUAGUUGAAAAUUAGUGAAGUAACUAAAAGCGAACGAAUAUGACCUUCCUUGCUUGCAAGUACCUCAAAGGUGGUUGAUGUGUUAUUUAAACCAUUGAUGAAUGAAUCUUCCUCGUGUACAUUCUUUCGGUGUAAGUCUCAAAAUGGGUUAUAACAUUAUUACAUUGCUACCGCAUUUUUUGUGACAUGAAUAGAUCAACUUCCAAAUUACUGUUUCAUUAGCGAAGCUCCUUUUUGUAUUUUUACUUAACAGUAAAUACUUACAGUGAUCUGAGCAAUUUAUGGAGCCUUUCUUGCGGGCCACUUUGAGAGCCAUGCAGCAAGUCAGCUAGACUAACAAUUUAGGCCAAAUGAUUCGUACUUUUUAACGAAUAUCUUGAAUCAUGCUUAAUUGCUUCAUUUAACACCCUACCUAGGGAUUUACUCAAAACGAUUCAUGUAAACAAUACUUUACAAUUCAAUGCAAAUAGUGUGUUGGAACGAAACCCAAUUUAGCUUCUUAAAUUAUGCGCAGCGGUUUCCAGUA